rnacentral:rRNA from 1 species
UACGAAGGGUGCAAGCGUUGUCCGGAAUUACUGGGCGUAAAGCGCACGUAGGCGGUCUUUUAAGUCGGUGGUGAAAUCCUGGAGCUCAACUCCAGAACUGCCUUCGAUACUGGAAGACUUGAGUCCGGGAGAGGUGAGUGGAACUGCGAGUGUAGAGGUGAAAUUCGUAGAUAUUCGCAAGAACACCAGUGGCGAAGGCGGCUCACUGGCCCGGUACUGACGCUGAGGUGCGAAAGCGUGGGGAGCAAACAGG